UGGAAGACUAGUGAUUUUGUUGUUCUCUAACGUAAAUAUUGACAACAAAUCCCAGUCUGCCUUA
rnacentral:pre_miRNA from 1 species